AGAAUAAAUUAAUCACAGUGACUCCAGAUACCAAGGUUCUGUAGGCAAUGCAACUGAUGAUAGUACAACUUUGUUGGCUGUUUACUAGGACCACGUGGGAACUCCUUAAAAAGAGUUGAAGCUUCAACUCAAUGCAGGGUUUAUAUAUGAGGUCGAGGUUCAGUGAAGGAUUCUAUAAUG